AUGUUGCUUUCUAACCAACUGACCCUGGAUGUGAAAGGAAAGCAUGUCAUUAUGAGAAUGGAUGACAAUGUUCCUGUGAAGAACAACCAGAUAACAAAUAACCAAAGGAUCAAGGGUGCUGUCCCAAGCAUCAAAUUCUGCUUAGACAAUGGAGCAAAGUCAUUUGUCCUUGGGAGCCACCUGGGCCAGCCUGAUGGUGUUCCCAUGCCUAAUAAGUACUCCUCAGAGCCAGCUGGUGCAAUACCCAAACCUCUGUUAUACAAGGAUCUUCUGUUCUUUAAGAACUCUGUGGGACCAGAAGCAGACAGAGCCCAUGUCAACCUGGCAGCUGGGUCUGUCAUCUGCUGGAGAACUUCCACUUUCAUGUGGAGGAAGAAGGGAAGGUAAAGAUGCUUCUGGGAACAAGGUUAAAACUGGACCAGACAAAAUAGAUGCCUUCCGAGCUUCGCUGUCCACACUAGGGGAUGUGAGUGUCAACGAUGUUUUUGUCACUGCCCACUGAGCCCACAGCUCUGCGGUGAGUGUCAAUCUGCCACAGAAGGCUGGUAGAUUUUUGAUAAAGGAGCUGGACUAACUUGCCAAGGCCUUCAAGAACACAGAGCAACCCUUUCUGGCCAUCUUGGGUUUAGCUAAAGUUGCAGACAAGGUCCAGUUGGUCAGUAAUAUGCUGGACAAAGUCAAUGAGACGAUCUUUGGCGGUAGAAUGGCUUUUACCUUCCUUAAAGUACUCAACAACGGGGAGAUUGGCACUUUUCUGCACCAUGACGGAGCCAAGAUUGUUAAAGAUCGCAUGUCCAAAACUGAGAGAAAAGGUGUGAAGGUCACCUCGCCUGGUGACUUUGUCACUGCUGACAUGUUUGAUGAGAAUGGCAAGGCUGGCCAAGCUGCUGUGGUCUCUGGUACACCUGCUGGCCAGACGGGCUUGGACUGUGGUCUGAGAGCACCAAGAAUAAUCUGAGGCACCCUGUUUGGAAUGUUAAACCAAGUCCCUCAUGAAUGAGGUGGUGAAAACUACUUCCAGGGGCUGCAUCACUAUCAUAGGUGGAGACACUGCCACAUGCAGUGCCAAAUGGAGCACAGAGGGUAAAGUCAGUCGUGUUAGCACUGGGCAGUGUAGUAUAGAACUCCUGGAAGGUAAAGUCCUUCAUGGGGUGGUGCUAUCAACAAUGUUUAGUACUUACCUGCCUUUUGGUUUCUGUGCACAGCCCCUAAGUCAACUUAGUGUUUUCUGCAUCUCCAUUUGGUGUUGGUACAAGAUUCAGCUGGUGGUCACGAGAGGCAGCACCAGUAACCCUUACACAGUUGCACAGAAUCUCAGCUCAUCUUUACUGGGAUUGUCUGCAUUCUUCCAGAUCCCGUUUAAAUUCCUUAAUGACUGA